UACGUAGGGGGCAAGCGUUGUCCGGAUUUAUUGGGCGUAAAGAGCUCGUAGGCGGCUUGGCAAGUCGGGUGUGAAAACUUCAGGCUCAACCUGGAGCGGCCACUCGAUACUGCUAUGGCUUGAGUCCGGUAGGGGACCACGGAAUUCCUGGUGUAGCGGUGAAAUGCGCAGAUAUCAGGGGGAACACCAGUGGCGAAGGCGGUGGUCUGGGCCGGAACUGACGCUGAGGAGCGAAAGCGUGGGUAGCAAACAGG
rnacentral:rRNA from 1 species